rnacentral:rRNA from 1 species
CUCAGUACGGCGAGUGAAGCGGCAAAGCUCAAUUUGAAUCCUGCGUUUAUUGUAAUUUGAAGGUUUCGUGGUCUGAGUCGGCCGCGCCCAAGUCCAUUGGAACAUGGCGCCUGGGAGGGUGAGAGCCCCGUAUGGCGCACGCCGACUCUUUGCACCGCGGCUCCGACGAGUCGAGUUGUUUGGGAAUGCAGCUCUAAGUGGGUGGUAAAUUCCAUCUAAAGCUAAAUAUUGGCGAGAGACCGAUAGCGAACAAGUACAGUGAUGGAAAGAUGAAAAGCACUUUGAAAAGAGAGUGAAACAGCACGUGAAAUUGUUGAAAGGGAAGGGCUUGCGAGCAGACACGGUUUUACCGGG